rnacentral:rRNA from 1 species
GUAGGUGGCGAGCGUUGUCCGGAUUUACUGGGCGUAAAGAGCGCGCAGGCGGUCGUUCAAGUCGCGUGUGAAAGCCCCCGGCUCAACUGGGGAGGGUCACGCGAUACUGAUCGACUCGAAGGCAGGAGAGGGUAGUGGAAUUCCCGGUGUAGUGGUGAAAUGCGUAGAUAUCGGGAGGAACACCAGUGGCGAAGGCGACUACCUGGCCUGUUCUUGACGCUGAGGCGCGAAAGCUAGGGGAGCAAACGGGAUUAGAUACCCCGGUAGUCCUAGCCGUAAACGAUGGACACUAGGUGUUGGUGGUAUCAACCCCGCCAGUGCCGAAGCUAACGCAUUAAGUGUCCCGCCUGGGGAGUACGGCCGCAAGGCUA